GAGUUUGAUCUUGGCUCAGAUUGAACGCUGGCGGCAUGCCUUACACAUGCAAGUCGAACGGCAGCACGGGAGCUUGCUCCUGGUGGCGAGUGGCGAACGGGUGAGUAAUGCAUCGGAACGUAUCCUGGAGUGGGGGAUAACGUAGCGAAAGUUACGCUAAUACCGCAUAUUCUGUGAGCAGGAAAGCGGGGGACCUUCGGGCCUCGCGCUCUUGGAGCGGCCGAUGUCGGAUUAGCUAGUUGGUGGGGUAAAGGCUCACCAAGGCGACGAUCCGUAGCAGGUCUGAGAGGAUGAUCUGCCACACUGGAACUGAGACACGGUCCAGACUCCUACGGGAGGCAGCAGGUGGGGAAUUUUGGACAAUGGGGGCAACCCUGAUCCAGCCAUGCCGCGUGAGUGAAGAAGGCC
rnacentral:rRNA from 1 species